GACGAACGCUGGCGGCGUGCUUAACACAUGCAAGUCGAACGGAAAGGCCCCUUUGGGGGUCCUCGAGUGGCGGACGGGUGCGUAACACGUGAGUAACCUUCCCUUUACUCCGGGAUAACUUCAGUAAACUAGGGCUACUACCGCUUAGGCAUCCUUGCUGCUUGGGGGGGGUUGAAAAGCUCCUGCGGUUUUGGAUGGACUCGCGGCUUGUCAGCUUGUUGGUGGGGUAGUGGCUUACAAAGGCUUUGACGGGUAGCCGGCCUGAGAGGGGGACCGGCCACAUUGGGACUGCGGUACGGCCCAGACUGGUACGGUAGGCAGCAGUGGGGAGUAUUGCACAAUGGGCGGAAGUCUGAUGCAGCAACGCCGCGUGCGGGAUGACGGCCUUCUGGUUGUAAACCGCUUUCAGCAGGGGCGAAGCUGUUGUGACGGUACCUGCAGAAGAAGCACCGGCUAACUACGUG
rnacentral:rRNA from 1 species